CCUACGGGAGGCAGCAGUGAGGAAUAUUGGUCAAUGGCCGCAAGGCUGAACCAGCCAAGUCGCGUGAAGGAUGACGGUCCUAUGGUUUGUAAACCUCUUUUAUCAGGGAGCAAAGGGCGCCACGUGUGGCUUUUUGCGAGUACCUUAAGAAAAAGCAUCGGCUAACUCCGUGCCAGCAGCCGCGGUAAUACGGAGGAUGCGAGCGUUAUCCGGAUUUAUUGGGUUUAAAGGGUGCGCAGGCGGAAUGUCAAGUCAGCGGUGAAAGUUCGGGGCUCAACCGCAGACUUGCGGUUGAAAUUGGCGGUCUGGAGUGCGCGAGAGGUAGGCGGAAUGCGUGGUGUAGCGGUGAAAUGCAUAGAUAUCACGAAGAACUCCGAUUGCGAAGGCAGCAUACUGG
rnacentral:rRNA from 1 species